rnacentral:lncRNA from 1 species
GGCUUUGGUUAGUUCUGACAGUAGCUCGUGUGUUCCUCUGAGCAGCCAUGACAAGGAACAUCAAACCUCUUCCUUGUAUCGGGGUGUAGUGCAGUAUACUGCAGAUAGAGAAGAUGAUGAAAAUUCUUCUGGGUGCACGCAUCCAAGCACCAUAGAAAGUAAGGGUUGCAAACCACAAUAUCUAGGUAACCAUAGGAUAAGGAAAUUGCUUGCCUCGAAGGUAAGGAAGGCAGCACGUAAUAAGAUUUGUGGAGGGAUUCCAUCAAAAAAGAUCUGUGGAGGGUUGUCAAAAAAAGGUAUGACAAUCCCCCAAAUUUAAUGUUUGUUUUAUCUAUACUACUAAAUGAUCCAUUGUUGCCAUAAAGACAGCCAUGUUUCCAUUUGCAUCUCUCUAGUUUCAUAGCAACUAGCCAAUGCAGGAAUUGUACUAAUCAAGGGCUACUGAUUGUCUUAAUCAACUAGGUAGCAAGCUAAACUUAUGUGGGAAAAAGAUGUCCACCACACACCAAAAGGUGCAAAGAAUGAUUUUCAAAAAGAAAAAGCUAACGCACCGUACAUCUUUUGCUAAGGAGAUGCUAACUGAAGGUAUUUUGUACUGUCAAAUCACAUUACCUGGUAAUUUGAAGUCUUUAGUUUUUUUUUAAGAUUAUGCAGACACAAAGUUCUUUGCACUGAGUCAGUCAAACCCAAUCUUCCACAUGGCAUUAAUGGCCUCAGUCAUUGUUUUAAUUCUCUUACUAAAAGAAAACUGUUGCUUGCCAUUUCAGCUAGUGGGACAUCAUUUGCUAUGGAAGGUCAAAAUAAAUCAUGUGAAGCUGAGAAUUACCAUGGUAUUCGUGGAUACUGUAGUGUUGUUUUUGUUGCUGUUGAAUCCAUUACUCAUCAUUUCCCCCUGUUUUCAGUUAAGCUAAGAAUCAAGUCAUUCAACAUCCCAGAAUUGUUCAUUAAGGUCCCAGAAAAUGCAACCAUUGGAUCACUGAAGGUAAACACUAGAUGGGCAUACAGAAGUUAUUGCUAAGCAAUUGUGCAUUCCUUUGGCAUCCCAAUAUUCUUUUUGGUGAUGCUGUUAUUAAUUUACUAUACAGUGUAAUUGAUGAAAUCUGCAAGGUUGCAAGAGCGCACUUGAGUUCAUAGAUUUAUCUUUUUCAUUCCACAGUUGGUACGCUGGAUUCAGUUGACUGUCAUGUUAGAUUUCUGCAUUUGAGGUUUAUUGCAAUGUGGAAUAAUGAGUCUUCACAAUAGUUUUACUGGUACCCUAUACAGAGCAAAUAAAUAAUUUGUUUAGUAACAGUUUGUAGUUCGUCUAUGCCUACAGAGAGCUGUUAUGGAUGUUGUCAAUAGUAUAAUGGAAGGUGGCCUACGCGUUGGUGUUCUUCUUCAAGGAAAAGAUAUCCAAGACGACAACAAGACACUUUGUCAGGCUGGGAUAUGCCACGAUAAAAAGCUAAAUAACAUAGACUUCACGCUGGAGUGCGAGCGUGAGCGCGAGCCUCCCUCUGGAGUCAUUAUACAAGAACAGAUGGAUUUCCUCACCACAGAUAUGGUGGAGCCAUUAGCUAGGUAGGUGACUUACACAGUACAGCUCUCUUAGGUGUAAUGAUUGGAGGAUGCAGCAGCUUAAACUCUCCAUGGUUUCCAGGAUGAAGUGUGAGGAACCUUUUCCUGAAGCCGACGUCGGAGAUGACAGCCAGCAGCCUAGAGCGCCUUAUCGAAGCCGCUCUCUCUCUGACCUGUACUCUGUCCAUUGUCCUGUUCAGAUGGCUUCACAGGACACGACGGCGAGCUCCCAGGCCAUCGUCCCUGUUUCGCCUGCGCCUUCAGACGUGGGCGCUCUAGCCAUUGUGCCCCUUUGUAAGUCCAAGGGGUCUGAAGUCGGGCAGAGGCGCAUGAGGAGGCCCUUCACUGUCGGCGAGGUUGAGGCGCUGGUGGGAGCGGUCGAGCAGCUUGGGACUGGAAGGUCUGUGUCCGGUGAAUCUGUUUCGGUUGAUGCGCAGGUUUAUUUCGGAUCACGCGUUGGGCUCAUGUGUUCCUCCUGAUGCUGUUUUGGUUCAGGUGGAGAGCUGUUAAAACGCUUGCAUUCGACAGUAUAGAUCACCGGACCUACGUCGACCUCAAGGUGAUUUUCUCUUAAAAAUAAAGUCACAUUUUUUUUAGAUAUUAGUUUUGAGUUUCCAGUUAAAAGACCUACAAAAGCAGCCAGUUCUGGUCGAUUUCAAUGCUGUGCUGGUGCUCUGCCAUAGCCACCACCGGUACAUUUCUCUGUUCGGUAUCUUGUGGCGUUCGAACACGCUUUGAAAUGCUGCUGAUGGAUGAACCAGGACAAGUGGAAGACCCUGGUUCACACUGCGAGCAUAUCCCCGCAGCAACGAAGAGGGCAGCCGGUUCCACAAGAACUUCUAGACCGUGUCCUCCUAGCGCAGGCCUACUGGUCCCAGCAGCAGCAGCAGGCGAGGCUCUAGGACAAGCCCCGCGGCAAGGCUCCUCUCCUCUUCCUGAGAUCUGUUUUCCAAGGGAAAGCUUGUACUUGUCCUAGAUUGGCAACCUAUAUUGUUUAUUUUACCCUAUAUUGUUUAUUUUACCAAACAAAGAUGCUAACAUAUAGAUUGGCAACCUACAACACCUAUAGAAAAUGGCUGCAGGCUGCUAUGACAAAUUAGUCACUGUCAGUGACUGACAUCCGUAUAAGUGGAAAAACAGUGACAUGACAUGCUCCGGUCCUGCGGCUUCCAGCCAAACAACAACGAACCCGCCUCCUCCCCUGGCCCGACGCGGGCUCUCCCGUCUCCUCUGAUGGACGGGAACCAAACCUGGCCGCCCCCUACCCCCUCGCCGCCGCCCUUCUCCUCCCGGCCCCGCGCGUCGCCGUCCCCGGCGACGCACCGCCGGCGCCGCCGGCACUCCAAAAAACAUAAGCCCCGGCCCGCGCCGGCGCCGACGCCGCAGGGCGCGGACUUCUCCGCGCUCCCGCCGGAUCUCGUCCACCGGGCCCUCGCGGCCGCGUGCGCCUCCGACGUCGCGGCGGCCAGCCGAGCGUGCCGCGCGUGGUGGGACGCGCUGCGGCCGUUGCGCGAGGCCGCGGCGCUGCACGCGUAUGGCCGACGCGUCAAGCACGACCCCGUGACAGGAGCCAGAGCCGUAGCCGCAGCCGCUGCCUCGCGCGGGGGAGGCGAACGUGUGGAGACGGAGAGGCAGCGCGCUCUGGGGCUGUUCCGGCGGGCGGCGAGGCUGGGCUCCGCGGCGGCGAUGGUGGACGCCGGGCUGAUGUGCUGGGAGGACGGGCGCCGGGAGGAAGCCGUCGGUUACUACCGGAGCGCUGCGGACCUGGGACAUCCCAUUGGGAUGUGCAACCUUGGGGUCUCCUACCUCGAAGGUAUGGUGGAUUUGGGUUAACAUUCGGGAUUCAGGACGGAUUAGACUUCUAUCCGUUCAUCAUAUAUUCGAUGCGCACUAAUUUUAUCUGCAGGACUUUUGAACCUUCCUAAUAUUUUUGGGGGAAAAAACUUUUGCUGUGCUCUGUCACUGUCUCUUGCGGUUGCGAUUCGUGCAGUAUACUUUGGGUUGUUUAUGUCCAAUCCUAAACUUUGCAUAGUACUCUGUAAUAAAGAAUCCACUGAUAAUUGAUCAGUGUAGUCAAGCAUGUUAUUUAUUAGUUCGUUACUGAUAAAUUGUCUUGUUAAUCUCAAGGCAUUGCAUCUGAUAUUGCUGCUAAAUGUUUCCGCAGCUGAUCCACCCAAGGCCGAGGAAGCUAUUAGAUGGUUUUAUCCAUCAGCAUCUGCAGGCAAUGCUCGUGCUCAAUACAACCUAGGCCUUUGCUUGCAGAACGGGAAGGGUGUCAAGCGGAAUCAGAAGGAAGCUGUAAGAUGUGAUACCUCUGCUAUGUCGGUGUCACACACCACUUAAAAUUUUCCUUACAGUAGAAGUAUUUCUGUUUUCUAUACGCAUUCAGUGGUUGAAAAAAAACUAGGAUAAUUGGUACACUAUCCUAUUCAUACAAUCUAUGCAUUUACCACACCUCUUACUAGAUAUAUUAGGAAUAGACAACUGAUGUUCAGUUGACGAACUACUCGUUACCCUCUGAUCUGAUGAUGCUAUUGAGUACCAGACUCUUUUGAAGCUCUUUAACUCAGCUAAGAGAAAGUAGCUUUUAAUUUGAAAAAAAGUAAUCUUGGUUGGGUUUCCUCUAUCAAUGUAAUUAUGAUCAUGUCACCUGGACCAAUCAAAAUACACUAACCAGCAGAUACUGGACUACCAGCAAGUUCCCAUACUCUUUUUAGUACUUGAGUUGUGCUGAAUAUGAAAGAGACUUAUUAAUGCAGGCAAAAUGGUAUUUGCGAGCUGCAGAGGGAGGGAAUGUACGGGCCAUGUAUAACAUUUCCCUGUGUUACAGCUACGGUGAAGGGCUUGCACAGGAUCCAGUGCGUGCUAAGAGGUGGCUUCAACUAGCUGCUGAUUGUGGUCACAAGAAAGCUCUUUAUGAGUGUGGUAUUAAGCUUUGUGCGGUAUGUCUCAUCUCUUUCUCAUAGGAGUGCCAGAUUUGCUUUUCUGGAUUUGUUUUUUUUUUCAAAAUGUUUGGCAUAGCAGUGCACUUUUGUUUCGGAACUGUUUUUCAGGAGCUUGUCCUGUGUUGCAUACCGUUAUGCAUUUCAGUUUGUAAAUAAUGCGCACAUACGAUUAGGACAUAAUGCUUGAUUUCUUCGAGAAAAUGGAAAUCGUCCUAGGAGUAGUUCCCACAUAAUCAGAUCUCCUACUAAACUAUACAGUGUUGGCAUUGACUUUCCAUGUCUUCAUUGCAAACGAGUGCUGUGCGCGGGUGAAACUUAAAGUAACAUUGCAGCUGGUCUAAUUCCUUUGUAAAAGUGGUUUGGAUUAGAGUGGAUGUGCGGGUAACAUAGGCAAGGUAAAUUUCUUAAACACAAGAUUGGCAGUACCUACAGGUCAAAUUGACAUUUCAAGGUGAUGAUAAUUUCCACGGCAUGCUAUUAACUAGACCAACCCUUAGUCCCUUGUAUCGAAGUAUUAUAAGUUACUCAUAACACGAACCCAUGCCAGGUUCCCGUACUGUGAUUGCUUCCUCAAUUUUAAGAAAUUCACGCGUUUACCUGUAACUCAGUUGGCGAGUGGCGUGACGUUGUCUCUCUCGUUUUAUACACAGGCAGGAGACAAGGUCAAGUGUCUCAUGUA